rnacentral:rRNA from 1 species
UAAAGCAUACGAACUUUCGUUUGACCCCCCGAAACUAAGCGAGCUACUUCGAAAUAACCGUGUGCCAACCCGUCUCUGUUGCAAAAGAGUGGAAUGAUUUCCAAGUAGAAGUGAUAAGCCUAUCGCGCUUAGAGAUAGCUGGUUACUCAAGAAAAGAAUAUAAGUUCUACCUUAAGCCUCCAGACUUAAGAGCCACUCGAAUAAGGCACAGCUUAUUCGAAUCAGGAAACAACCUAUAACAUCGGGUAAUACCAAGCGGGCCUAAAAGCAGCCACCUUUAAAAAGCGUUAAACCUUCAUGUCUUCACCAACCACCAACCCAUAAACAAUAUUGAGUAUUCCCAUAAAGUAUGGGAGAUAUAAUGCUAGAACUAGUAACAAGAAUUUUCUCCAAAAUAUAAGCUUAAGCCACCAUAGACCCCCUGCCGGCAAUUAACGUAAAUGAGCUCACUAUUCCAACCAGAAAACCUUAUAUAUUUAACGUCAACCUUACACCAGAAUAUUAAUGGAAAGAUUAAAAGAAGGGGAAGGAACUCGGCAAACUUCGAUCCCGCCUGUUUAU